rnacentral:rRNA from 1 species
UACGUAGGGGGCAAGCGUUGUCCGGAAUUAUUGGGCGUAAAGAGCGUGUAGGCGGUCCGGUAAGUCAGCUGUGAAAGUCAAGGGCUCAACCCUUGAAAGCCGGUUGAUACUGUCGGGCUAGAGUCCGGAAGAGGCGAGUGGAAUUCCUGGUGUAGCGGUGAAAUGCGCAGAUAUCAGGAGGAACACCAAUGGCGAAGGCAGCUCGCUGGGACGGUACUGACGCUGAGACGCGAAAGCGUGGGGAGCAAACAGG